UACUGCCCAGGGUGGUUUUUGUCCUUUUGGUGUGGAGAGUGGUUUGGUGGUGGUUUGGGAGACGUGGACUGUGGUGAUAAUUUUUGAACUUGGAUUCUGGGGAAGAUUUGGAUUUGGAUACUGGUUACAUUUUUGGACACGGAUUUUGGCAAAGGUGUUGUGGACACUGACCACAAAACAAUUGACCUAUCAGCAAUGAUGAAGAGGUGGCAAGCACGUCAGGACCUCAGGUCGAACACCUUUGGCGAACUUGCCGUAACGGAGCACUAUAAAAUAUUAACAACCCUUGGCCAAGGGUCAUUCGGGGAAGUAAAACUGGCGAGCCAUCUACUCACAAAGAUAAAGGUAGCAAUAAAAAUCCUCCCCCAAAGCAGGAGAAACCCCCUUGUGCAAUCUGAAAUCGAAAUCAUGAAAUCCCUUGACCAUCCCCAUAUUAUCAAAGUUUUACACAUAAUCGACACCACCAGAAACAUUUUCAUCGUUCUGGAGCAUGCUAUGGGAGGAGAGCUGCUGAGCAGAAUUGAAAAGUUUGGUUAUAUAGCAGAGAAGGAGUGCCACAGACUGUUUAGCCAGAUAGUGUAUGCCCUCAAGUACUGUCACAAGAAAGGGAUUGACCACAGAGGAGAUGUAAAGCUUGCUGAUUUUGGAUUGGGCACCAAGAUAAUCAUGGGCCAGAAGCUGGUCGAGUUCUGUGGAACCCUCCCUUACUGUGCCCCAGAAAUGUUGGAAGGUAGAGGGUACGAUGGCUGGGCCACUGAAAGCCCAAAUACAUUCUUCCUCAAUAGACAUGUGGAGGUAGGGUAGCCACCUUGUUAAAGGACUCAGUUUGGAUCAAUUCAUAUGAGUUCUCAUUCCCUCUUCAGUUGUUCUAUCUCAGUGUCUUCAAAAUCUCUUUAUAAUUGGGUAUGGAGAUGUUCACCAGGGCCCUGACUUCUGUUCACAAAACAGUGUUUUUGUAGCCUGAAAUCUGGGUAACCCACAGCUUGUAUUUCUGCCCAGCCAUUCAUAUCCUGUUGAGAUGGCAGAGCUUUCUUCAGGGCAGAAGGGAUGCUUUGUGCUGCCAUGUGAACUAGAGAUGGAGAGGCUUCCAAGAUGACAGGAGCCCUGGCUUCCUGUAACCAAAUCAUUGUUGGAAGAAACUCUAAGCAAGCUUGUGUCUCUUCCUAAGGAGGUGCAGCCAGCAUGUGCCAUCUGGCAGAUCCUCUUGGUGUUGUGAGGAAUUGUGUACUGUUCUAUAUCAGUUCUCUGCACACUGGUUGACUCCAGAGCUUGCCUUUCCUUCUUUCCUUCCUUCCUUCCUUCCUUCCUUUAUUUCUUUUUUAUUAGAUAUUUCCUUUAUUUACAUUUCAAAUGUUAUCCCCUUCCUAGUUUCCUCUCAAACAGAGAAAAUCAUAGCCCUUGCAUCACAAACUUUGUAAAUAAAAAUAAGAUUAUUACAUACAAAAAAAGAAUAAAGUGCUUACAUUUUUAAAUAUUUCUUCUUUAUUACUUUACACUGUUCCUUUAUCAGCUAUGUAAAGAAAUCUUUAUGUAGAGAUUUUAUAAUUUUAGAUCUUACUUUUAGAACUAAGAUUCAUUUGAGUUCACUUUUAUAUCUGCUGGCCAUCAUGGAUCCAAGCUUAUUGUAUGGAUGUGGAUUUUCACUUGGUGCUGCCACCUGUUGAAAAGUAAUCUUUAGCCAAGCACUGGUGGUGCGUGCCUCUAAUCUCAGCAUUGGACAGGCAGAGACAGGCAGAUCAAUGUGAAUUGGAGGCCAGCUGGUCUACAGAACAAGUUCUAUGACAGUAAAGACCACACGCGCGCGCACACACACACACACACACACAUCCCACCACCAUCACUCUGGGGGAAAAGGAGCCGGCCAACAGAGAAAAGAACUCAUAAAUGUGAGUGAACUCAGACCCUAUGAAUCUUAGAAUUCAGAAAGGCAAGAGUGGAACCAUUCCCUGCCACCUCUGCCUGCACUGGAACAAUCUGUAGAGGACUGUUCUCUUUCAGAACUUCAGGGAGUUUGCCAUGGUCUUGGUUUCCAUAUGAUCUUCCCACAAGCUUCCCAACAAUUGGCUUUUGGAACUAAUUUAAGCCCACCCAUCUUGGGAUUCUUUACCCACCUUGGCACCAUGCAGUAACUUUAUUCCUUUUUCUAAUAGGUACUUAUUUGACAAGUUCAUAAAUGAGUACUGUAUUUAUAACCUGUACUCCUUUUUCUCAACCUUCCAACUCCUCAUGUGUUAUCCCCACCCAUUUACUUUCAAAUUCAUAGUCCCAAGGAUGGAAAAAUGGCUCAGUGGUGAUGAGCGUCUUUUUGUUCGUGCAGACAAUACAGUUUUAAUUCCCACAACCGACAGCGUGGCUCACAAUCAUCUGUAACUCUAGUUCCAGGGAAUCUGACAUCCUCUUUUGAUCCACUUGGGCACCAGGCAUUCACAAGAUCCACAAAUGCUCAAAGAGCCCCAGUGGAACCUCUGAGCACUCCAUGCUCCCAACACUUCUACCCCUUGGUACUCUAACUCCUUGGUAACUUGGCUUCUUACCCUCCUUGGCCCUGUAGCAGCCAUUGGAACCGUGCUUCAUUUUUCUUCUUUCAUUUUUAUUGGUUAGUUUAUUUAUUUACAUUUCAAGUGUUAUACCUCUUCCCGGUUUUCCCUCCACAAGCCCCCAUCCCCUCGCCUCCCCUUGCCUCUUUGAGGAUGCUCCCCCACCCACACACCCACUUCUGCCUCAGCACCAUAGCAUUCUUCUACCCUGAGUCAUUGAGCCUCUACAGGACCAAGGGCCUUCCCUCCCAGUUAUGCCAGAUAAGGCAGUCUUCUGCUACAUAUCCAGCUGGAGCUAUGGGUCUCCCCUCCCCAUGUCUAUGCUUUGAUUGGUGGUUUAGUCUCUGGGAGCUCUGGGGUGAGGUCUGGUUGGUUGAUACUGUUGUACUUCUAUGGGUUUGCAAACCCCUUCUGCCCCUACAGUCCUUGCCCUAACUUCUCCAUUGGGUUCCCCAUGCUCAGUCUGAUGUUUGGCUGCACACAUCCAUAUCUGUACUUGCCAGGCUCUGGCAGAGCCUCUCAGGGGAUAGCUACACCAGGGAGUCUUGCUUCUUUUGGCACCCUGCCUCAUCCAAUUUCUAAAGCAGCAGAUGAGUAGCAUUGGAAUGAUCAUGACUAAUCAGGUCUUGGUUCAAUAUCAAACUGUUCCCAACAUAGGAGACAGUUAUUCUGAUAACACAUCUCCUUUAUAAAGAGAAGAAUUGUGGAGCAGUGGACCAUGCCAGGAAACCUGGUAAUGUUGAGUGGGGUUGCAAGUCCCAGAACCAAUGUAGAGACAUAGGUUAGAACUUUGUGAAUUGGAUUGCAUUUUUCCAUGAAAUAAUCGCCAACCAUUGAUAAAUGAGGUGUCGUAAAUGUCACCAUUUAAACCAGAGUGGACAUUAUUAAAGGACAAAAAGAAAAAAAAAAAAAAGCUGGGCAGUGGUGGCACAUGCUUUUAAUCCCAGCAUUUGGAAGACAGAGGCAGGUGGAUUUCUGAGUUCGAGGACAACCUGGUCUAUAGAGUGAGUUCCAGGAUAGCCAGGGUUACAGAGAGAAACCCUGCCUUGGGAAAAAAAAAGACCCAUCUCCUAUUUAGAACUCUAACUGUAGCUUGCUCUUCGAACCAGUUCACCUCAAUAAUCACUCUAUUGCUUCAAGCCUGGUCUAAGUGCAGUUCCCAUAUCUGACACUAUCUGCUGACAAUAUUGGAAGGGUGUAUACAUGUCUCUAAAUAACAUGAGUGAUAUUAAUGUGUCAACAUUAGCUCACUACUGAAAUGCACGACUUUGGUGCCAGAUGUUGAGAUAGAAAGGACAGGCUUAUUUUGUUUGUAAGCAUCCUUUGUAUCAUAGCAAAGGAAAUGUUUAAAAGAGCAACUGUAAUAAAAGUAAUUUUAGUAAAGAAAGAGAAAGAAAGAAAGAAAGAAAGAAAGAAAGAAAGAAAGAAAGAGAGAGAGAGAGAGAGAGAAAGAAAGGAAGGAAGGAAGGACGGACAGACGGACAAGGCUGUGCCUAUAGCCCUCUCCACAUUCCAGAGUGGAGCAUCUAAUUCUAAAUAGAUUGUCUGUUUGCAGAGCUAAAUAAAAGCAACUGCCUAAACUUAGCAUUAAAAUUAUGUGUUUAAUGGUCCAAAGGCCUUGUAAAAUAGAGUGAUUCUUCAUUCUGUAAUAAAGCCAUUCAUUAUUACAAACUAUGUACUAUAAGAAAGACCUAGUAAAACAGAACCCCGCAGGCCAUAACAAAUUUGUCAAGUUCAACCUUAAAUUUAUUGUUAUAGCUCUAAUGAUGAAUUGCAUUUGUGAAUGGUAUAAAACAGUUGAACAUCUAUACCUUUGGAAAAAGACUUUCAUCUAGAGAUUUCACAUCAAUCAAACCCAUUGAAUGGACCCUACUUAGCAUCUGAAAAUUUAUUUAUUUUUUAUUUUUUAUGUUCUAUUAUUUUGUAUGUGAAUUUUGAGAAGCAUAAGACAAACACACACGCACUUAACAUCUCCUCUACAGAGAUAUAUCUCUAGAGUUUCCCUUAAAUUAGUCUAAAAUUUAUUUACAAAAAUUCCCUAAAAUGUUGGAGAGAACUAUCAACAUUAGGAAUGUGAUGUUCAAGAUCUAUUGUGGAAAGACAGCAUGGAGAGUUUCCUUGAUUAAAACCACAGAGCUAUUCAACUCUGUUUCUCCAUUGACCAGACCGUAAAACAAACUAUGACUUCAAUUGUUUACUAGAGACUUCUUGGCGUACCUCUCUCCAUCCCGGGAUAAACAACCUAAGUGCCCUUCAAAAUAGUUAGGCCGACUUUUAACAGCAUGAGAAGAGACCUGGAUUGCUCCCAUGCUAUCAUGCAGAAGCUGCACAAACUAUAAAUCUACAGUCCACUUUAAUCUGAUUUAGAUGGAAAUUAAAGUUACUUCUAGCUCUUUUUUAUAAUUAUUAUUUUAUAUAAAUGAACACGCUAGUGCUCUCCUCAGACACACCAGAAGAGUGCCACACCCACUUCAGUAAAGACUGUGUGGCAGGCUUAAAAGCUUGGACGUAGUCUCGAGGCAAAAAUGUUUCACAGAAACUUAUCCUCCUGGAACCUUAGCAUUCUCAUAGCAUGAAUGAUCCAAAUUUGUCCCUGCAAUAGUGUGGAUGGUCUUGCAUGCUUUCUUGUAGUAUUUUACUGGAUAGGAGCUAGAAAUCUCAGGGCAACCUUAGCAAAGUAUACUUAGAAUUCCCAUUACAGACAUGAAUGGCAGCCUACAUUACAUAAUAGUAGAAAGAACGACUGUGGUUUUAGGAGGAACUAAAGUAUUAUAUUAUUCAUGAAAGGGUUAGUAGUACUGAACUCCCCUAGUGCCUGUUUUUCACUAGGCCCAGAGGAAUACCAUAAUUAGGUAUUUACUAAGGGAACCCUGGUGGUGGGUUUAAUAAUAGACUAGUAUUGCAUCAGACCUUUCACCUGGCUCCUGUGUGAAUAGCUGACUUUAGAUAGGGCUGAUCUUAUCUCAGUUGUAAACAUUGCCUGGUACCUGCCAGUCUUUUUCUAUGCAUUUCUCUGUUUUGUGUUAAAUAACUUCAAUGUACCUUGGCUGAUGUGUCACCUAACUUCUUUGUUUUCUUCUAUAAUAUAUAAGUCUGAUGCUCGCUUUGAGAAAUUACAUUCAGAUCAACACUCCCUUGUGUUCACAUCUGUUACUUUUGCCAACUCCCUGCCCACUGCAGGACUCUGAUUCUUCUGUGGGUUGAGGGGUCAAUUGAAGCCAGCCCGUGGCAGAAGAGGGCAUAAAAUCCCAUUAGAGAUGAUUGUGAGCCACCAUGUGGUUGCUGGGAAUUGAACUCGGGACCUCUUAAAGAGCAGUCAGUGCUCUUAACCACUGAACCAUCUCUUCCAGCCCCCAUUUUGAGUUCUUACACUAUUAAAUAGAAAAUAAAUGUCUAAUUCCUGAUGAAUUCAUGAGUUUGCUUCAAUUCUUUUCUUUUAAAGUGAUCAAUGCAUCACAAAAGCUUGACUUAAUCCAUUUGUUUUUGAAUUUCAAACUACUGAAGACACAAAUACACAAAUAACAUUAUAUGAAAAGAGCAUGCUGCAUUUGUGUUGAGAGAAACAUACAUACACGUACAUAUGAAACAAGAUUUAAAGAAAAUGAGGCUGUGCAUGUCAAUGACAGUUUGUGUGUGGAAGGGACAUAAAGAAUAGGCUGACAAAAGGAAAGGACAGGGGAAAUGAUGUAAUUAUAAUAAUCUAAAAAGGAAGAAAAAAAAAA